CGGCGCCACGAGUGGCAAUCGCGAUUAUUGGGCCUAAAGCGUCCGUAGCCGGUUCAGUAAAUCCUUUGUGAAAUCGCCAGGCUUAACCUGGCGGCGUGCAGGGGACACUGCUGAACUCGAGACCGGGAGGAGUUAGAAGUAUUUCUGGGGGAGCGGUAAAAUGCUAUAAUCCCAGAAGGACUACCUAUGGCGAAGGCAUCUAACUAGAACGGAUCUGACGGUGAGGGACGAAAGCCAGGGGAGCGAACCGGAUUAGAUACCCGAGUAGUCC
rnacentral:rRNA from 1 species